GGGCGGGUAAUUCAGCCUGGUAGAAUGCUCGGUUGGCAAUCGAGUUGCCCCGGGUUCAAAUCCCGGUCCGUCCA
rnacentral:tRNA from 1 species